CAUAGGCAGGCAUGCUUUACACAUGCAAGUCGAACGGCAGCACGGGGAGCUUGCUCCCUGGUGGCGAGUGGCGAACGGGUGAGUAAUAUAUCGGAACGUGUCCAAUAAUGGGGGAUAACUAGUCGAAAGAUUAGCUAAUACCGCAUACGCCCUGNGGGGGAAAGUGGGGGAUCUUCGGACCUCACGUUAAUGGAGCGGCCGAUAUCUGAUUAGCUAGUUGGUGGGGUAAAAGCCUACCAAGGCGACGAUCAGUAGCUGGUCUGAGAGGAUGAUCAGCCACACUGGGACUGAGACACGGCCCAGACUCCUACGGGAGGCAGCAGUGGGGAAUUUUGGACAAUGGGCGAAAGCCUGAUCCAGCCAUGCCGCGUGAGUGAAGAAGGCCUUCGGGUUGUAAAGCUCUUUCGCAAGGAAAGAAAACUUAUCUACUAAUACUAGAUGAGGAUGACGGUACCUUGAUAAGAAGCACCGGCUAACUACGUGCCAGCAGCCGCGGUAAUA
rnacentral:rRNA from 1 species